AAACACGGACCAAGGAGUCUAACAUGUGCGCGAGUCAUUGGGCUGUAAAACCCAGAGGCGCAAUGAAAGUGAAGGUCUCGCCUCGCGCGGACCGAGGGAAGAUGGAGUGCGCGUCAGCGCAUCUCUCGCAUUCCCGGGGCGUCUCGUUCUCAUUGCGAGUUGAGGCGCACCCAGAGCGUACACGUUGGGACCCGAAAGAUGGUGAACUAUGCCUGGCCAGGACGAAGUCAGGGGAAACCCUGAUGGAGGUCCGUAGCGAUUCUGACGUGCAAAUCGAUCGUCGGAGCUGGGUAUAGGGGCGAAAGACUAAUCGAACCAUCUAGUAGCUGGUU
rnacentral:rRNA from 1 species